rnacentral:rRNA from 1 species
CCUACGGGUGGCUGCAGUGGGGAAUAUUGGACAAUGGGCGAAAGCCUGAUCCAGCCAUGCCGCGUGUGUGAAGAAGGCCUUCGGGUUGUAAAGCACUUUCAGUGGGGAAGAAAGCCUUGGGGCUAAUACCCUCGAGGAAGGACAUCACCCACAGAAGAAGCACCGGCUAACUCCGGGCCAGCAGCCGCGGUAAUACGGAGGGUGCGAGCGUUAAUCGGAAUUACUGGGCGUAAAGCGCGCGUAGGCGGUCUGAUAAGCCGGUUGUGAAAGCCCCGGGCUCAACCUGGGAACGGCAUCCGGAACUGUCAGGCUAGAGUGCAGGAGAGGAAGGUAGAAUUCCCGGUGUAGCGGUGAAAUGCGUAGAGAUCGGGAGGAAUACCAGUGGCGAAGGCGGCCUUCUGGACUGACACUGACGCUGAGGUGCGAAAGCGUGGGUAGCAAACAGGAUUAGAUACCCUGGUAGUC